UUACAUUAGCGAUUAAAUCAGCAACAUAACUAAGAAUAAUAAUAUACCGGAGUAUCUUUUUUCUAAGUAUUCAAAAGUCUUCGAUUGAAGAUAAUCAAUGCACUGUCUGAACGCAAGAUUGCAUUUGGAAAUGUGAUAAACUUGAAAGCUAUUUAAACCCAAGAGAUAAUCAACACACCACACACCAAAUUCAAACUCAUAAAUCAGAUCAGUCGAGAUGUCAAACGGAUGUGAAGCAGGUAAGAAUUCAUGGCCAGAGUUAGUUGGGUGCAGUGGAAAGACUGCUGAAAAGACGAUCGAAUCUGAGAAUCGCAACGUAAAUGCAAUUGUGAUACUAGAGGGUAGUCCUGUAACCAUGGACUUAAGGUGCGACAGGGUUCGGGUCUUCGUCGAUAAAACUGGAAAAGUUGUUCAAACACCUGUAAUUGGGUAAUACAUGCACUAUAUGCAUGAUAUGAAUUUCCGGCCUGCCUUAUCUAAAGUUUUAAUUUGAUAUAUGUACGAAUUAAGUCGUUUCUCCAUGUAUACUUAACGAUAUAUAAGUUGUUGUAUUAUUAUUAUAGAUGUCCCUAAUGUUAUUGAAUAAAAGUUGGCCGGAUCGAUUGUGUCAUUUUAUCAAA